UACGUAGGGGCAAGCGUUGUCCGGAAUUACUGGGCGUAAAGCGCACGCAGGCUGACUUAUAAGUCGGUAGUCUAAUGCGGAGGCUCAACUUCCGUUUAUCUAUCGAUACUGUAAGACUAGAGUAUGUGAGAGGGAAGUGGAAUUCCAUGUGUAGCGGUGAAAUGCGUAGAGAUAUGGAGGAACACCAGUGGCGAAGGCGGCUUCCUGGUCUGUAACUGACACUGAGGCGCGAAAGCGUGGGUAGCAAACAGGAUUAGAUA
rnacentral:rRNA from 1 species